AUUGAACGCUGGCGGCAUGCUUUACACAUGCAAGUCGAACGGCAGCACGGACUUCGGUCUGGUGGUGAGUGGCGAACGGGUGAGUAAUACAUCGGAACGUACCCAGUAAUGGGGGAUAACUAUCCGAAAGGAUAGCUAAUACCGCAUACGCCCUACGGGGGAAAGAGGGGGAUCGCAAGACCUCUUGUUAUUGGAGCGGCCGAUGGCUGAUUAGCUAGUUGGUAGGGUAAAGGCCUACCAAGGCAACGAUCAGUAGCGGGUCUUAGAGGACGAUCCGCCACACUGGAACUGAGACACGGUCCAGACUCCUACGGGAGGCAGCAGUGGGGAAUCUUGGACAAUGGGCGCAAGCCUGAUCCAGCAAUGCCGCGUGCGUGAAGAAGGCCUUCGGGUUGUAAAGCGCUUUUGUCAGGGAGCAAAUCCUUGUGGCUAAUACCCACCGGGGAUGAGAGUACCUGAAGAAUAGGGACCGGCUAACUACGUGCCAGCCGCCGCGGUAAUAC
rnacentral:rRNA from 1 species